AGAGACUAAAAAUACAAGGCUUCUAUGGGAUCUUUCAAAUGCCUCACCCUCUUGAUGGCUACUAUCUUCUAGGACGCUGUGGGAUGGCUAAAGAAAUUGAGAAUAAAAAGUUCAGACCCAAUACUCUACUGGCUAAAUCGUCACCAAUGUCUUAUCGAGAGCAUUGUUCAGGACUAGAACCCAGAGUCAGCAAAGAUAAAAAAUGAACAAAGUCGGUGACGAUGCAGGCCGUGAGAGAUUGAGCACAAAAACGAUAAACCCAUCAUGCUCUCAACCCAUAUCGUGGUCCUUUGCAUUGGAAUCUACGCCAUGAGAAAUCCUUUGCCUUGUGAUCAUCCGCGAACGUGGAAGGGUGUGUGCGGGACAAGCAUCAAUCUGAUUCUUAGGUUCAAUUUGGUUUCGUGGUGAAUAUGGUUCGAAGAGGAUGGACAUUUGAUUCUGAAGAGGAUGAAGGGCAGGGCGAAGUGGAGAUUUCGAUUUCAAAUAUAGGUUGUGUUCUCAGACUUGGGUCAUGUUCUCAAUCUGUAAAUGGGGAUUCGAUUUCGAAGAAGAGUGAGAGGAAUAUGCCCUGAAGUUGUGUUCUCAACCUGGCUUGCUUGUUUGAUAUGGUUUUUUAUUUUUUCUUGUUUGAUCCAGAUUCUUGUUUUUUCUUCUUUUGGUACUUUUUUUGUGAAUGGUGAUCUAACAUGUUCUAGAUUUUCAUUUUUGAUGUCCUGAUUUUCUUUUUUGAUAUUUGCAAUCGGAUACAUAGCAUCAUUUUAUUCGUGUUAAAGUUUGAUCGACGUUGAUGUCCUGAUGUUCGAGUUUGAUGUUAUUAAAUCCAAAGUCCACAAGAUUCUUCCCCUGUU